GGACGGCUGAAUAUGGGCCAAGCCCAUUACGAAUAAAGAAAAAAAAAGGUUUUGUGGUGGAUGCCAAUAUAUACAUCAGCAUCAUACGGCUGGGGGGAGGAUCAUCAGUUGGACGCAAAGAUGAUACAACAUCAGGAGGUUCGAUCAGCAGGAAAAAGAAGAAGGGUUCAAGAUUCAAAGCCGCAAUCAAGAUUCAAGUCUGAGUUCACAACGAGAAAUUAAGUAUGGAUCUGGCGGGCGUUGGAGUUUACAACUCAAGUCUCUAAUAAAAGGUGUCAUCCGAGGUCUAAGGGUUUGGGUUAUGUCUUUUGUGAAGUCCAGUAUGGAACCUUAAGCUUUGGUAGUUAUGUGUUCUAAACUGAAGGUCUUAGUUUGAUGUUAAACAAUGACGGUUGUAUUAUUUUGAAAACUAUCUAUGGAUGAACAUCUUGGUUUUAUCA